GUUAACAAAAACAUGGCCUUUUGAUAAUAAUUUAAGGUCUAAUCUGCCCACUGAAAUUUUAAAUGGCCGCGGUAUUUUGACCGUGCAAAGGUAGCAUAAUAAUUAGUUUCUUAAUUAGAAGCUGGAAUGAAAGAUUGAAUGAGAAAAUAACUGUCUCAAAUUAAAUUAAUUAGAAUUUUAUUUUUAAGUUAAAAAGCUUAAAUAAUUUUAAAAGACGAGAAGACCCUAUAGAGUUUUAUUUAGUUUUUUAUUAAAAAUUUAUGAAUUUAUAUUAUUUUAAAUAAAAAAUUAAAUUUUGUUGGGGAGAUAGAAAAAUUUAUUAAACUUUUUUUAUAUUAUAACAUAAAUGAAUGAUUAAUUGAUCCAAAUUUUUUGAUUAAAAGAUAAAAUUACCUUAGGGAUAACAGCGUAAUUUUUUUUGAGAGUUCUUAUCGAAAAAAAGGAUUGCGACCUCGAUGUUGGAUUAAAGUUUAAUUUUGGUGUAGAAGCUAAAAAUUUAGGUCUGUUCGACCUUUAAAACUUUACAUGAUCUGAGUUCAGACCGG
rnacentral:rRNA from 1 species